UUAGCGAACUGAUACAUCUUAUUAGCUACAAAAAAAAUCAAAAGAGAAGCUGAAAGUAGCGGCGAGCGAAAUCAAAAAAAAAUAACUUGUGGGUUUUAGCC
rnacentral:rRNA from 1 species